GUGAGGAAUAUUGGUCAAUGGACGAAAGUCUGAACCAGCCAAGUAGCGUGCAGGAUGACGGCCCUAUGGGUUGUAAACUGCUUUUAUACAGGGAUAAAGUGAGCCACGUGUGGCUUUUUGUAGGUACUGUAUGAAUAAGGACCGGCUAAUUCCGUGCCAGCAGCCGCGGUAAUACGGAAGGUCCGGGCGUUAUCCGGAUUUAUUGGGUUUAAAGGGAGCGCAGGCUGAUGAUUAAGCGUGACGUGAAAUGUAGCCGCUCAACGGCUGAACUGCGUCGCGAACUGGUUAUCUUGAGUGAGUUCGAUGUUGGCGGAAUUCGUGGUGUAGCGGUGAAAUGCUUAGAUAUCACGAAGAACUCCGAUUGCGAAGGCAGCCAACAAGGCCUUUACUGACGCUAAAGCUCGAAGGUGCGGGUAUCGAACAGG
rnacentral:rRNA from 1 species